UUACCAGGUCAAGACAUGGGCGUGAUUGACAGGCUAAUGACUUUUCUCGAUUCCAUGGAUGGUGGUGCAUGGUCGCACUUAGUUGGUGCAGUGAUUUGUCAGGUUUAUUCCGGUAACGAACGAGACCUCGGCCUUGUAAAUAGCUAUGCUGCUUACAGGGACAUUGGCGGCUACGCCAAGGAAGCUCGAGGCAAUUGCAGAUCUGGAAUGCCCUUAGAUGUCCUGGGUCGCACGCGUGCUACAAUGACGCCACGAACGAGCUUGCGUGAUGAAAGUUACGCAUAAUCAGCAGUCGGCGUCUUAAGGGAUAGUCUCUUGUAACUGUGGGACUCCAACUAGGAAUGUCUCGUAAGCACAAGUCAACAUCUUGUGUUGAUUACGUCCCUGCUCUUUGUACACACCGCCCGUCGCUCCUACCGAUCGAGUGUUUAGGUGAAUUUGAUGGACGUAAGGAAGUCAAAUAAACCUGAGCACUAGAGGAAGGAGAAAGUGAACCAGGU
rnacentral:rRNA from 1 species